CCUACGGGCGGCUGCAGUGGGGAAUAUUGGACAAUGGGCGAAAGCCUGAUCCAGCCAUGCCGCGUGUGUGAAGAAGGCCUUCGGGUUGUAAAGCACUUUCAGUGGGGAAGAAAGCCUUGGGGCUAAUACCCUCGAGGAAGGACAUCACCCACAGAAGAAGCACCGGCUAACUCCGUGCCAGCAGCCGCGGUAAUACGGAGGGUGCGAGCGUUAAUCGGAAUUACUGGGCGUAAAGCGCGCGUAGGCGGUCUGAUAAGCCGGUUGUGAAAGCCCCGGGCUCAACCUGGGAACGGCAUCCGGAACUGUCAGGCUAGAGUGCAGGAGAGGAAGGUAGAAUUCCCGGUGUAGCGGUGAAAUGCGUAGAGAUCGGGAGGAAUACCAGUGGCGAAGGCGGCCUUCUGGACUGACACUGACGCUGAGGUGCGAAAGCGUGGGUAGCAAACAGGAUUAGAUACCCCGGUAUC
rnacentral:rRNA from 1 species